CUUGAUUGCGGCGGCCAUUUUAGAACUCUGGUCGCCUAUAUAAAUGGGGCAGUUCCCUGCUGGCGGGCUAAGUAGAAGCAUUGCUUGGUUGCAAGGCUGAAUGCAACAUCCUGGAGGGACCAGCCUGUUUCAAUGCAAUUUGCACUGAGAAGGUUUUAGGGGCUGCUCAGAACCAGGGUGAGGGAGAGACCCUGCAGCAACUCGGAGCUCAACGCUGAGGCAGGAGCCCAUGAAGCAGGGACCCGGACCUUGUCUUGCACAUCACAGUCAUCCAGUUAGGGUAGAGAAACAAGAGCACGUGGCUAAGGUGACGCAUCACAACAGAUGGAGAACCACUAGGAGUCUGAGAGUUGUUCGUCUAGACUCUUUGUGAAUACUAACGUGAUGGAAGAAAUCAAGAUCAAAUGUGAAGAGCUUGCUAACUAACGUUAGAACAAAUGGUGCAACCAGCUCUUCUUGCUCCUUGCUGUGUUGCAAUGACCUUAAUAGCUUAGCCUUGCCUGAAAUGCAGUUGUGUAGGCUUCUUUCUUUCUACCGUCUACCCCUG